CCUACGGGAGGCAGCAGUAGGGAAUUUUCCACAAUGGGCGAAAGCCUGAUGGAGCAAUACCGCGUGCAGGAUGAAGGCCUUCGGGUCGUAAACUGCUUUUAUGUGCGAAGAAUUUGACGGUAACACAUGAAUAAGGAUCGGCUAACUACGUGCCAGCAGCCGCGGUCAUACGUAGGAUCCAAGCGUUAUCCGGAAUUACUGGGCGUAAAGAGUUGCGUAGGUGGCAUUAUAAGUGGAGCGUGAAAGCGUGCGGCUCAACCGCAUUAUUGCGUUCCAAACUGUGAAGCUUGAGUAUGGGAGAGGUAGAUGGAAUUUCUAGUGUAGGAGUGAAAUCCGUAGAUAUUAGAAGGAACACCGAUGGCGUAGGCAGUCUACUGGCCCAUUACUGACACUAAGGCACGAAAGCGUGGGGAGCAAACGGGAUUAGAUACCCCGGUAGUCCACGCUGUAAACUAUGGAUGCUAGCUGUGACACACAUCGACCUGUGUCGUAGCGAAGUUAACGCGUUAAGCAUCCCGCCUGGGGGNGGUACGGUCGCGAGAAUAAACUACGAAGAAGUAGACGCGUGAGACGCGCCGACGACGACGACGAGGGAGGAGG
rnacentral:rRNA from 1 species